GGAACGGACGGCCCGGGAGCAGGCGGCGGCGCAGGGGCUGCCGGCGGAGCAGGCCGACGCGGCGGCCGCGCAGGUUCCGAGCCUCGUCCCGUUCCUC
rnacentral:tRNA from 1 species